CACUGCGGUGAAUACGUUCCCGGGUCUUGUACUCACCGCCCGUCAAGGCACGAAAGUCACCAACACCCGAAGUCCCAACUGGAUUGGGCCUAAGGUGGGGGGAUAAUUGGGCUU
rnacentral:rRNA from 1 species